rnacentral:rRNA from 1 species
GGCUUAGAGUUUGAUCAUGGCUCAGGAUGAACGCUGGCGGCGUGCCUAACACAUGCAAGUCGAACGGAGAUUAACGCUGAAUUGAUAAUUAGCUUGCUAAGAGGAUUUUCUUGUUAAUCUUAGUGGCGGACGGGUGAGUAACACGUGAGCAACCUGCCUUUCAGAGGGGGAUAACGGCUGGAAACGGUCGCUAAUACCGCAUGACAUAUUCGGAUGGCAUCGUCUGAAUAUCAAAGGAGCAAUCCGCUGAAAGAUGGGCUCGCGUCUGAUUAGAUAGUUGGUGAGGUAACGGCUCACCAAGUCGACGAUCAGUAGCCGGACUGAGAGGUUGAACGGCCACAUUGGGACUGAGAUACGGCCCAGACUCCUACGGGAGGCAGCAGUGGGGAAUAUUGCACAAUGGGGGAAACCCUGAUGCAGCAACGCCGCGUGAAGGAAGACGGUUUUCGGAUUGUAAGCUUCUUUUCUUAGUGAAGAAGAAAGUGACGGUAGCUAAGGAAUAAGCAUCGGCUAACUACGUGCCAGCAGCCGCGGUAAUACGUAGGAUGCAAGCGUUAUCCGGAUUUACUGGGUGUAAAGGGAGCGCAGGCGGGACUGCAAGUUGGAUGUGAAAUGCCGGGGCUCAACCCCGGAGCUGCAUCCAAAACUGUAGUUCUUGAGUGGAGUAGAGGCAAGCG